rnacentral:rRNA from 1 species
CAAGCAGCUUGCUGCUUCGCUGACGAUUGGCGGACGGGUGAGUAAUGUCUGGGAAACUGCCUGAUGGAGGGGGAUAACUACUGGAAACGGUAGCUAAUACCGCAUAACGUCUCAAGACCAUGAGAGGGGGACCUUCGGGCGCUCUUGCCAUCGGAUGUGCCCAGAUGGGAUUAGCUAGUAUGUGGGGUAACGGCUCACCUAUGCGACGAUCCCUAGCUGGUCUGAGAGGAUGACCAUCCACACUGGAACUGAGACACAGACCAGACUCCUACUGGAGGCAGCAGUGGGGAAUAUUGCUCAAUGGGCGCGAGCCUGAUGCAGCCAUGCCGCGUGUAUGAGAAAGGCCUUCGGUUUGUAAUGUACUUUCUGCGGUGAGGAAGGGAGUAAAGUGAAUACCUUUGCUCAUUGACGUUACCCGCAGAAUAAGCACCGGCUAACUCCGUGCCACCAGCCGCGGUAAUACGGAGGGUGCAAGCGUUAAUCGGAAUUACUGUUCGUAGAGCGCACGCAGGCGGUUUGUUAAGUCAGAUGUGAAAUCCCCGGGCUCAACCUGGGAACUGCAUCUGAUACUGGCAAGCUUGAGUCUCGUAGAGGGGGGUAAAAUUC